CCCAGGCAUGUGCCCUGACUAGGAACUGAACCAUGCAUGACCUCUUAGUUCAUAGGUCGAUGCUCACCCACUGAGCCACACCAGCCAGGUGCCAAAAUUUUUUUGUUACUGAUUUCUAAUUUUAUUACACGGUGGCUUGAGAACAUACUUAUUAUGAUUUGAAUCCUUGUAACUUUAUAAAGAUUUGUUUUAUGGCCCAGGAUAUGGUUUAUCUUGGUAAAUGUUCUGGGUACACUUGUGAAUAAUGUAUAUUUUGCUGUUGUUGGGUGGAAUAUUUUUUAAAGGUUAGGUCAAGUUUGUUUAUGUCCUUGCUGUUUUCUUUUUUUUUUUUUUAAUAUUUUUUUUUUUUAUUAUUUCAGAGAGGAAUGGAGAGGGAAAGAUAGAAACAUCAGUGAUGAGAGGAAAUCAUUGAUUGGCUGUCUCCUGCAUGCCCCCUACUGGGGAUCAAGCCCAUAACCCGGGCUUUGUGCCCUUGACCAGAAUCAAACCCGGGAUCCUUCAGUCUGCAGGCUGACACUCUAUUCACUGUGCCAAACUGACUAGGGCUGCCCUUGCUGAUUUUCUGCCUACUUGUUCUACAAUAUAAUAAAGGUUUUUCUUAUUCAACCCCAUUCUGCAGAAUGCACCAGUUGGAACAAGCAACUACGGAACACCUAAGAUGACACUGUUAGGAAAAAAGAUUAAAUCUUUAUCCUGGCAAUGGGUCUAAUUUCUCUCCUAAUUUAUCAUUGUGAAUUUAUAAAAUGUAGCAAAGCAAAAGCAAGAUUAGAAUAUCUGGGCUAGUGAUCAGUGAGGGAAACAAAGGGAGAUUUAAAUAUUUUUUAAAAGAUUGAUGCUUCCAGUUUUAUCCAUUACAGAUAAUUCUGUAAUGAACUUCUUACAAUUAGCACAUAGCAAACUUGAGGGAAAUUUUCAUUAUAACAAAUUACUGGGAGUGGAGUUUUUAAUCAAAGAGUAUACAUGUUUUACAAUUUGACAGAUAAGUUAAAUAAGUUACCUUACAGGCAUACAAUGGAAUGCAACCCUUAAAAAGAAUGAGUUAAAUCUAAAGUACUGCUAUUUUUAAAUGUCCACAGUAUAUUAUUAAAUCAUAAAAGGAGUUACUUCACUCUGUAAAAUUCCAUUAAUGUAAGAUGUUAGUAUUUCAGAGAGGAAAAUCUGGAAGAAUUUAUGUCAAACACUGAUUAACUCAUUCAUCAAAUUUGGAGAUUACUUUCUACAUUAUGUAAGUAGUGCAUGGAUAAAUUCAUCUUGUGAAAAUAAAUUUAAUACAGAUGCACAAACACUGUACCAAAAUGUUUAAAAAGUUUUAUUCAUAAAAGCCCAAAACUUUAAACAAUUCAAUGCUCAUCAACUGGUGAAUGAAUAGAAAAAUUUGGUAUCUCCACACAAUGGAUACUACUUAGCAAUAAAGGAAAAAAACUAUUGAUGCAUAAUAUAACUUGGAUUAAUCUCAAAAUCAUUAUGCGAGGAGAAAGAAGCCACACACAAAAGACUACAUACCAUAUGAUUUCAUUUAUAUGAAAUUCUGGAAAGGGCAAAUAUAUAGUAUUAGCAGAUCAAUGGUGGGCCAGGGGCUGGAAGUGAGGAUAACUUAUAAAGGAGUAUGAAGGAACUUUUGGGGCAAUAGAUAUGAUUGAUAUCAUGAUUCUGGUGUUGGCUACAUUACUAUAUACAUUUGUUAAAGUUUAUAAAAUUGUAUAUUUAAAAUAUGUGAACUUUACUGCAUGUAAAUUUUAUAUGUAUAGAUUUUU